rnacentral:ribozyme from 2 species
UAUAUAACUCCGCCUGUAGCUCUUCUAGAUUCACUGCCGGUCCCAAGCUCGGGUAAAGGAGGAGGGUUGG